rnacentral:rRNA from 1 species
AACGAACGCUGGCGGCAUGCCUAACACAUGCAAGUCGAACGAGCCCUUCGGGUCUAGUGGCGCACGGGUGCGUAACGCGUGGGCACCUGCCCUUAGGUUCGGAAUAACUCCCCGAAAGGGGUUCUAAUACCGGAUAAUGUCUUCGGACCAAAGAUUUAUCGCCUUUGGAUGGGCCCGCGUUGGAUUAGCUAGUUGGUAGGGUAAAAGCCUACCAAGGCGACGAUCCAUAGCUGGUCUGAGAGGAUGAUCAGCCACACUGGGACUGAGACACGGCCCAGACUCCUACGGGAGGCAGCAGUGGGGAAUAUUGGACAAUGGGCGAAAGCCUGAUCCAGCAAUGCCGCGUGAGUGGUGAAGGCCUUAGGGUUGUAAAGCUCUUUUACCCGGGAUGAUAAUGACAGUACCGGGAGAAGAAGCUCCGGCUAACUCCGUG